rnacentral:snRNA from 1 species
AUACGUAUUUGGCAGGGGAGAUACCAUGAUCACGAAGGUAGUUUUCCCAGGUCAAGGCUCAUCCAUUGCACUCUGGAUGUGCUGACCCCUGUGAUUUCCCCAAAUGUAGGAAACUCGACUGCAUAAUUUGUGGUAGUGGGGGACUGCGUUUGCACUUUCUCCUA